UACGGAGGGUGCAAGCGUUAUCCGGAUUCACUGGGGUUAAAGGGUGCGUAGGCGGACAGGUAAGUCAGUGGUGAAAUCUCUGGGCUUAACUCAGAAACUGCCGUUGAUACUAUUUGUCUUGAAUAUCAUGGAGGUAAGCGGAAUAUGUCAUGUAGCGGUGAAAUGCUUAGAUAUGACAUAGAACACCAAUGGCGAAGGCAGCUUACUACAUGGAGAUUGACGCUGAGGCACGAAAGCGUGGGGAGCAAACAGG
rnacentral:rRNA from 1 species